rnacentral:rRNA from 1 species
AUUGAACGCUGGCGGCAGGCCUAACACAUGCAAGUCGAACGGUAACAGGAAACAGCUUGCUGUUUCGCUGACGAGUGGCGGACGGGUGAGUAAUGUCUGGGAAACUGCCUGAUGGAGGGGGAUAACUACUGGAAACGGUAGCUUAUACCGCAUAACGUCGCAAGACCAAAGAGGGGGACCCUCGGGCCUCUUGCCAUCGGAUGUGCCCAGAUGGGAUUAGCUUGUUGGUGGGGUAACGGCUCACCAAGGCGACGAUCCCUAGCUGGUCUGAGAGGAUGACCAGCCACACUGGAACUGAGACACGGUCCAGACUCCUACGGGAGGCAGCAGUGGGGAAUAUUGCACAAUGGGCGCAAGCCUGAUGCAGCCAUGCCGCGUGUAUGAAGAAGGCCUUCGGGUUGUAAAGUACUUUCAGCGGGGAGGAAGGGAGUAAAGUUAAUACCUUUGCUCAUUGACGUUACCCGCAGAAGAAGCACCGGCUAACUCCGUG